CACUGAGAAUUGCUGCUGAAAGUUUUUAAAAAGGGAGCUCUGACCUCAGUGGAACUUGUCCUCCCAGUAGGGGUUCUGAAGACUGGAACUCACAAGAGGAAGAUAAACUAUUACAGUCUUGGUGCAGAUUUGCCUCCUUCCCCGAGAUGGAAAAUUUACACUAACUAGUGGAGUGGCUGUGUGCUCUCUCCCUUGAGCAGAAAACAAACAAUGAAGACUGCAUACCCUGGAGACUGGGGUUGAUAUCUGAGGAGCACUGGCAUCUUUAUCUUAAAAAACAUCCCACUCUGUAAUUCCUUCUUGAUUGGUGAACUGACGUCAAACAGGGUGAACAGA
rnacentral:lncRNA from 1 species